CCUACUGGUGGCAGCAGUGGGGAAUAUUGGACAAUGGGCGAAAGCCUGAUCCAGCCAUGCCGCGUGUGUGAAGAAGGCCUUCGGGUUGUAAAGCACUUUCAGUGGGGAAGAAAGCCUUGGGGCUAAUACCCUCGAGGAAGGACAUCACCCACAGAAGAAGCACCGGCUAACUCCGUGCCAGCAGCCGCGGUAAUACGGAGGGUGCGAGCGUUAAUCGGAAUUACUGGGCGUAAAGCGCGCGUAGGCGGUCUGAUAAGCCGGUUGUGAAAGCCCCGGGCUCAACCUGGGAACGGCAUCCGGAACUGUCAGGCUAGAGUGCAGGAGAGGAAGGUAGAAUUCCCGGUGUAGCGGUGAAAUGCGUAGAGAUCGGGAGGAAUACCAGUGGCGAAGGCGGCCUUCUGGACUGACACUGACGCUGAGGUGCGAAAGCGUGGGUAGCAAACAGGAUUAGAUACCCCAGUAGU
rnacentral:rRNA from 1 species